UCCUGGAAACGGGUGGUAAUGCCGGAUGCUCCAUCACACCGCAUGGUGUGUUGGGAAAGCUUUGCGGCAUGGGAUGGGGUCGCGUCCUAUCAGCUUGAUGGCGGGGUAACGGCCCACCAUGGCUUCGACGGGUAGCCGGCCUGAGAGGGCGACCGGCCACAUUGGGACUGAGAUACGGCCCAGACUCCUACGGGAGGCAGCAGUGGGGAAUAUUGCACAAUGGGCGCAAGCCUGAUGCGCGACGCCGCGUGAGGGAUGGAGGCCUUCGGGUUGUAAACCUCUUUUGUUAGGGAGCAAGGCACUUUGUGUUGAGUGUACCUUUCGAAUAAGCACCGGCUAACUAGGUGCCAGCAGCCGCGGUAAUACGUAGGGUGCAAGCGUUAUCCGGAAUUAUUGGGCGUAAAGGGCUCGUAGGCGGUUCGUCGCGUCCGGUGUGAAAGUCCAUCGCUUAACGGUGGAUCCGCGCCGGGUACGGGCGGGCUUGAGUGCGGUAGGGGAGACUGGAAUUCCCGGUGUAACGGUGGAAUGUGUAAGAUAUCGGGAAGAACACCAAUGGCGAAGGCAGGUCUCUGGGCCGUUACUGACGCUGAGGAGCGAAAGCGUGGGGAGCGAACAGGAUUAGAUACCCUGGUAGUCCACGCCGUAAACGGUGGAUGCUGGAUGUGGGGCCCGUUGCACGGGUUCCGUGUCGGAGCUAACGCGUUAAGCAUCCCGCCUGGGGAGUACGGCCGCAAGGCUAAAACUCAAAGAAAUUGACGGGGGCCCGCACAAGCGGCGGAGCAUGCGAUUAAUUCGAUGCAACGCGAAGAACCUUACCUGGGCUUGACAUGUUCCCGCCGAUCCCAGAGAUGGGGUUUCCCUUCGGGGCGGGUUCACAGGUGGUGCAUGGUCGUCGUCAGCUCGUGUCGUGAGAUGUUGGGUUAAGUCCCGCAACGAGCGCAACCCUCGCCCCGUGUUGCCAGCGGAUUGUGCCGGGAACUCACGGGGGACCGCCGGGGUUAACUCGGAGGAAGGUGGGGAUGACGUCAGAUCAUCAUGGCCCUUACGUCCAGGGCUUCACGCAUGCUACAAUGGCCGGUACAACGGGUUGCGACAGUGCGAGCUGGAGCGGAUCCCUGAAAACCGGUCUCAGUUCGGAUCGCAGUCUGCAACUCGACUGCGUGAAGGCGGAGUCGCUAGUAAUCGCGAAUCAGCA
rnacentral:rRNA from 1 species